rnacentral:rRNA from 1 species
UUUUAAGAGACAGCAGCAGCCGCGGUAAUACAGAGGGUGCGAGCGUUAAUCGGAUUUACUGGGCGUAAAGCGUGCGUAGGCGGCUUCUUAAGUCGGAUGUGAAAUCCCUGAGCUUAACUUAGGAAUUGCAUUCGAUACUGGGAAGCUAGAGUAUGGGAGAGGAUGGUAGAAUUCCAGGUGUAGCGGUGAAAUGCGUAGAGAUCUGGAGGAAUACCGAUGGCGAAGGCAGCCAUCUGGCCUAAUACUGACGCUGAGGUACGAAAGCAUGGGGAGCAAACAGGAUUAGAUACCCCAGUAGUCCCUGUCUCUUAUAC